rnacentral:lncRNA from 1 species
AAACAAAAACAGAAAGCAUUAGUGACUCCCGCAGAAAAUAGUGAAAAUAAUUAACUAAAAAUAAGAAACAUACAUACAAUCGCAGGCAAUAAAAUCGAGCAGUAACUACCAUAACUAACAGCCACAGGAGGGCACACGCUAACAUACAAAUCGUCUAUGAGAAAACCUACUGACGUGCGAAGGACUCUAGUAGCCCCUAACCUACAACCCUGAUUCUGG